UCCCGGUUAACCCGGGCAGUCUCGUUAGAGUUCCCAGCUAAACUGUUGGCAACUAACGACAAGGGUUGCGCUCGUUGCGGGACUUAACCCAACACCUCACGGCACGAGCUGACGACAGCCAUGCAGCACCUGUGCAGCAGUCCCGAAGGAAGGCGCUAUUUCUAGCGUUGUCCGCUGCAUGUCAAGCCUGGGUAAGGUUCUUCGCGUUGCAUCGAAUUAAACCACAUGCUCCACUGCUUGUGCGGGUCCCCGUCAAUUCUUUUGAGUUUCACCCUUGCGGGCGUACUCCCCAGGCGGUGUACUUAACGCGUUAGCUCCGGCACAGACGGGGUUGAGACCAUCUACACCAAGUACACAUCGUUUACGGCUAGGACUAC
rnacentral:misc_RNA from 1 species